rnacentral:rRNA from 1 species
AAUUUUGGACAAUGGGCGCAAGCCUGAUCCAGCCAUUCCGCGUGAGUGAAGAAGGCCUUCGGGUUGUAAAGCUCUUUCGCAAGGGAAGAAAACUCAUCCGCUAAUACCGGGUGAGGCUGACGGUACCUUGAUAAGAAGCACCGGCUAACUACGUGCCAGCAGCCGCGGUAAUACGUAGGGUGCGAGCGUUAAUCGGAAUUACUGGGCGUAAAGCGUGCGCAGGCGGUCUUGCAAGUCAGAUGUGAAAGCCCCGGGCUCAACCUGGGAACUGCGUUUGAAACUACAAGGCUAGAGUACGGGAGAGGGAGGUAGAAUUCCACGUGUAGCAGUGAAAUGCGUAGAGAUGUGGAGGAAUACCAAUGGCGAAGGCAGCCUCCUGGCUUGAUACUGACGCUCAUGCACGAAAGCGUGGGGAGCAAACAG